rnacentral:rRNA from 3 species
UUUAUCGGAGAGUUUGAUCCUGGCUCAGGACGAACGCUGGCGGCGUGCCUAAUACAUGCAAGUCGAGCGGACAGAUGGGAGCUUGCUCCCUGAUGUUAGCGGCGGACGGGUGAGUAACAC